CCCUUUACAAAGCCGUCCACAGCUUCUGUCAGUCGGGCCAGAUAAGGUAAUCCUGUUCACUUGGCCGUCAGAUGAUGAGCGGGACAUCUUAUAUCUCGCAACCCCCCCCGAGCAGCUCAAAGGCUGCUGGGAAAUCAAAGGUUUGGAGAGAGAAGGAGGUUUUGUUGUGCUCCUUAUCUCUCCCAGUUGGAUUGAGCACUUAAAUAUAUGAUUUGAUCUACACGGCGGACAAAUUGCACGAAGCCGUAAGCCGAGGCAGCAGAGCAGAGAAGAGAAAAGGCAAAAAGGGAGGAGGUCGAAGGUCACUCACGGCUCCACAGGGGGCGUUCUGGAUGGUGACCGUGAACUUCCCCGAGUUGCGGCUCUUGGCGAGGACGUACUGACACGUGGCGGCAAAGGUGUAGAGCCGCCCGUCAAAGGAUUGAAAGUACAUGUCGCCCGUCACCGAGCACUCGCCUGGGGAGGGUCGGGGGGGUCGGGGGGGUGGAGAGAGAACCUUUGCUUAAACUGCUUUAAUGCUCCCUUGUCCUUCCUUGCUUCCUUGCUUGCCUUCAUCCUUAUCUCCUAACUAAGAUGAACCCUUCUUUAAUCUGAAACCGCCUCCUUCCUUUUCACCAAACAGGAACUAGUUACAUGCAACACAUAGAGAGACAUUUUGCUUCUUGGACCAGGUAUUUCCCUACGACUUCCCAAAGAAGGACCCGUCCACUGUUCAGGAGCUUGAGGAAAAGGACGAGGGCGACUAACCGGGGCAGCUGUGCUCGGUGCAGUUCCACACUCCGCCCACGCAUGUGCUGAAACAGAAAGCAGACACGUCCACAGGUGGAGGACAUCCGAGAAACACGGAGCUGAGAUCGCGGAAGGAAGCCGGGUGAACAUUUGUUCGCCCAGGGUUCGUUUUGCAUCCAAAUUUGACCCAUUUUAUUGGGAUAAAAGAGCAACGUUUGAACUAGCAGAUCAAAUAUCCAUUUCUCCUUGUGACAAUGGAAGCAUCGGAGGUGGGAGCAUCGAUUCAGGAUCUGACCCCUCAGCACUCACCAGUUGCUGCAUUCCUCCUGCAGCGUGUGUCCGGAGUGGUAAAAGAGGCCGUGGAACUCGCAGGGACAGUCGGAGGCCUCCACACAGCCUCCGUCCUCGUAAAUCAGACCUGAGGAGAGAGGCGGGAGUCGCUCAGCUCUGUCCGCUCAACAAGAGACCCGACGUCAAUCCGAGGUUCCCAAAGAAGAGGUGACGGCCGCCCCAAUUUGUGGAGGACAGGAAAGGUUUGCCAGCUGUACGCCACGGGGGGUAACAGAACCAGAAUAGAUGCGCACCGUCGGGGCAGUAGCAUCCGUCCAGGCAGGCCAGCCGGCUGUCGAUGCAGGUCCGCUCCAGGUUGCAGGAGGCCGGGCAGCAGCUGAUACACUCCCUGUGCUGCAGACCCGCCGGGCACGACCUGGCUGCUCCCAAAGAAGGUGAACAAAACACACAUUUACCUCUGCGGCCUCUCGGACUCCACCUGCACCUCUCUGACACGAGGGAAGACAAGUGAAAUGAUGUCUCGCUUAGCUGCGGUUUAACUGAUUGACAGUUCAGCCAAUGUCCAAAGUGUUACUUUAUGGUUCCACAUAUACAUUUGUUGUUCAUUUUAGCCAAAUUUAGCGAACGCAAGAGAGGAGAGAUUUAUAAAAUAAUAGAAAUGUGUUUCUUGGCACAAAGUCAUGUGGUAACAUUUUGAGGUUGACCGUAGCCGCAGUUAGCGAGCGCUUCUUUAGCUAACGUUCGUUUGGCCACUUAUCUGAUUUUUAGGAAUUAUUUAAGUAGGAAAUGUGAAUAUAUUGACAAUUCCUACAUUGAAGCUAAAAAUAUAAGAUUUAGUGCUAUUUAAUUGUAUGUCCCGUGCCUUCUAGUUAACCUGUUUGAAUAUAAGAGAAAUUAGUCCUAAAUUCUGGAAAUGAGUCGACAUGUUUGCAUUUCAGAAUCUCUCCUCUCAAAGUAAUGCUUUGUUUUUGGGGUUUGGGGUUAAAAUUCCCCAAAAAAUCUUGGCUGACCAAAGCUUAAGACAUUUUUAGCGUUCCGAAAAUAAUUGAUGUCAUUUUUUUUCUCAAACCAAACGUUAGCUUUUUACUUCCGCCGAUUGCAUUGAGGCUUCAAACGUGAUGAAAAACGGACUGUUUGCCGUGAGAAACGUACCACACUGAGGAAAGUGCUGCCUCCAGCCGUGCAGCGGGUGGUCGGCGUGGGCACAGGCCCGUGCGUACUCGCUGAGCACCUGGCACACCACGUCGCCUUCGGGCCCCGACCUUUGACACAGAAAAGACUCUUUGAGCGGAGCCAGGAGGAAAGGUGUGGCCAGGUAUGGCCAGAUGGACCAGGUGGGCCAGGUGUGGCCAGGUGGACCAGGUGUGGCCAGGUGGACCAGGUGGGCCAGGUGUGGCCAGGUGGACC
ensembl:lncRNA